UCCUUUGCAAUGCUGCGUUUCUAUGCUACAAACAGAAAAGUUGAAAAUCACAACUUAUUCAUGAUAGCAAUUGCAUAUGAGAAAUUCGGAGUAAUCUUCAAAGUGUUCAACUCUUAGAUCGUAAUUUAAGAUUUUGGCCUGCCCGUGAGGGUUCAGCGUGAACUCACGCUUGUAAUUGGCAUAAGAAAAGCAGGGCAAGUUUUCACUUUGCUAUUUCCCUCAAAAGGGGUCGUAGUUGAGAUAAAUCUUGUCCCUAUGGGAGAGCCAUUACGAAGAUUGUGUGUGCCUUUGCAUGACACUUAAGUGCAAUACGCAGCGUGUAAAUCCUCAUAACAUUUUAUUUGGAGAUACACAAUUCGAUUCCGAUUACUCUGUUAAGGA
rnacentral:RNase_P_RNA from 2 species